AUGACCCAAUGGGCCGAGCUUCACAGGCUGUCCGGUGCUGCCAUGAAGGACGUCGUGGUCCGGCUGUGGCCAAUCGAGCCAGUUCCGGAUGGUUAUUUUGGUUUGGUGCAGCGACUUGCUGAAGCGGUGCCGCGUAUCGAUGCUGUGAAGCAAUCGACGUGCAUUGAAGGUGCACGGAUGGCCUUUGCCCGUGUCAAGACAUACUGGGCGAAGAUGAAGGCCACCGAUGUUGCAGCGAAGAGUCCACCCAAGGGCAAGGAUCGUCACGCGCCAGAGCACUAUUUCGAGGAUGUCUUAGAGGGUGCCCGCUUAAUAGAGGGUCAAUGCUCGAAAGAUGUAAUUUUCGAGUGA
rnacentral:rRNA from 1 species